AGAAAAUAGUGCUCAUUUUCUUCUUUUUCUGGCAAAGCCAGUUAUCUUCACGUGAAGAGAAUCACCCCAAAGGCACACACAGUAAUCUGAAAUUGAUUAUUUCCGUUUUCAUUCAUUCUUGAAUGGGGAAAAUUGUAGAUGAGAAGAAUCACGGGAACAUUGAGGGCCCACUGUAGUGCAGUUCAGCUGCACUAACACAUUAGUUGUUAACGUUUACGAAGGCAUACAUUUUGACAAUUGGAGAUGUACCCAAUAAAGUGUCCAGUCACUGUACUGGUGUAGGGUCUCGCUUUUAAAUUCACAUGUUGUUGCAAUCCCCUUUGUGACUCUUCCUCUUCCUUCCAGUAAGAGGCCAUAAUGCGAUUUGGUUGCAUUUGUCUGACAGUGGCAGGCCACCUCCUGGAAGACAAGAUGACCGUCUAUCCUGUUCAGGCUCAUGGUCUGCCAUCUGCCCUUGCUCCCUGCAAACCAGCGCUCACCUCUUGCGGCCCACCGACAACCCGGACUCCUACCCAGCCAGACUGGUCCUCCUUGGAACCCUGCUGAUCCUGAAUCUAGUUCUCGGAGCUCUUUUUGUUUGCUUCCAAUCUACAAUAAACAUUUGUUCACAAACUGCCUUCCCUCUCCUCUCUGCGUCUGGGUCCAACUCGCAAGCCGAAUCCUGACACCACUGUAGGGCUGAGGACCCCACCCAAUCAAUCAAGGGGCGGGAUUGGGCCCAGGGGUCCACCUGAGAGCAGCCCAGUGGACAGAAAACGUCCCACACCGAGGGAACCUGGGCAGUCCGCCGGCCCCACCGAGGCACCCCGACAACUGGCCACCCAGUAGGGGCCGCAGGGACCCAAUGCCACCCCACCAGCCACCGCCCCACAUGCCCCGUCACCCCCCCUCCCAAAUCCCACCCACGACCCACUGCCCCCCACAGAUGUGUGUAUGUGGUGCAUUAAAACGUGGGAAGUGUGAUGCAUUUAAAAUCCAGGGGGGCAGGCAGGGCGGAGAGGCAGGGCGCACGGACAGGGAAACAGCACAGACGUGCUGAAACCCAGUCCGACACCCACACCCUCCCGAUCCCAUACCAGUCCCCCAGGAACUGUGCCCAGAUGUGAUUAGUGAAAAAAAUAUGUACAGUGAGUGGUGUGAGUGUGUGCUAAGUGAGUGAUUAAGAGGCAUGGGUCCUGCAGGUCGGGCCCAUUAGGCCGGACAACCACCGAAGAAGAGGGCUAUGCCACCCAAAGCACCGACCCCGGGCCCCAACCCCCCACAUUCACACCAGCACCCACUACCCGCCCCCGAGUGUGGGAGGUACACCCCCCCCUCCCAAACCAGGCAGGGACAAAAACCCCACAGCAGGCCCCACAGCCUGCAGGGGACCGCCCGGCUCCCCCACGGGAAGAGGAAGAGGAGACCGCAGCGGGACGCAAGAAACGGAGGGAAGAGGAGGAAGCAGGCCCGAGGAGUGAUCAAAAGCAUCGAAUUGGUGUACAUUCCCAUAAAGCAUGAAAAUAGGUGUCUGGGGUAUUUUUGGUGUAUUGCACGCAUAUAUUAGAUGGAGAGAAGCCCAUUUUAUGCAUAGUGUACUGAGUAAAGUGUGUUCUAUGGAGCACUUUAUAUUGUAUAAGCUGUAGAUUUGUGUUUUUUGUCAUUCUAAACAUAUUGUUACAAAUCUGUAUCCAGUAGCUACGGUCAGCAGACAUGGAAAGG